CACACUCUGUACUGGGAAGGGAAAAAUCUGAGCCAACUAUGUAAUCAUUCUCCACCUUAUCAUUGCCCCAACAUGACUAAUGAGCCAGGGACAGACUGCAGGGAGUGAGGAACAUGGAAGCAGCAGCAAAAACAAAAGGGUGCCAUGGAUAAGAGACUGAGAGGCACCUGCUGCAGGGGUAAACAGCCAUUUAGAAGAUGUGUGUACAAAAAGCAUCUCAGCGAGCUUUUUGCAAAUUAUAUGCAAUAAAUACUGAUGGAAUGAAGCCAUCUCUGUGGGGCCAGCAGCAGUCAGAGAGCAGCAUGGUGGAUAAAGCAAGUUCUUGCCAACUCCUUUAUCUUUCCAGUUCCAGGAUCUCUUAAGUCCCACGCAGAGAAGUCAGUCCAGUUUUUCUCUUGAAGAUCUGCAAAAAACCAAACAACAAAUCAUUAAAACUGAAAAGAUGAAAUGCUGAAUCAUGCCUUCCACUCUUUAGAACCCUGUGUUCCACUGAGCCUAAUUAUUUCACACUUGCUACCUAAAUCUUUGAGCAGACUCUCCCAAGAAUAUUCUCGAUGAGGGCUGGAAAAGAAAAAGUUCUGAUGAACAUCUAAUAGGGGGACAGUAGUUCUGGUCAAACUCCCUGGAAAUUAAUGUUGGCUUAGCUCAUAAGAAUGGGAUUUUAUUUGGCCCAAACAACCUCAAGCAAACUUGAAAUUACACUGAGGGCAGUACAGUCAAUGUGCAGCUGAAUGAGUGAAGAGAAACUGCCAGGAAACAUCAAACAUACUUUUAAGCAUUUAAACCAGUGUCUUUUGAGUAUCUGAAAUGAGGUGAAAAUACAUUAAAAUCCAACCAGAUCCCUCUCUUUCCCUUGUUGCAGCCAACCCUGAAUAGAGUCAGUGGGUGUAGAAAUAGGAAACUAUAUUUUGCUUUUGCUUAGGUAGUGGGGGUUUACUAUUUAAAAAAUAAAAAUUAAAAAAAAAAAAAAAAGCCUGACCUACAGCACAUUCUGGAAGGGCACAUAUCGAAUAUCCUCAGCUCUUAAUCUAAGAAGGAACUUCAGUGCUCUGGCAUUGUUCUCCCCUGUGCCAUUCUUAUCUGACACGUAGUAUCAGUUGCCAGAAAUGCUGUGGGUUUAUUCUGUACUUUGUAU
rnacentral:lncRNA from 1 species